GAUGAACGCUAGCGGGAGGCUUAAUACAUGCAAGUCGAGGGGUAACAGGGGCUUCGGCCCGCUGACGACCGGCGCACGGGUGAGUAACGCGUACGCAACUUACCUCCAAGCGAGGGAUAGCCCUGGGAAACUGGGAUUAAUACCUCAUGUGAUUAUGAUGCCGCAUGGUGUUAUAAUUAAAGUUCAGGCGCUUGGAGAUGGGCGUGCGUCCUAUUAGCUAGUUGGUGAGGUAACGGCUCACCAAGGCGACGAUAGGUAGGGGGCGUGAGAGCGUGGCCCCCCACACGGGUACUGAGACACGGACCCGACUCUACGGGAGGCAGCAGUAAGGAAUAUUGGACAAUGGGCGCAAGCCUGAUCCAGCCAUCCCGCGUGCAGGAUGACAGCCCUACGGGUUGUAAACUGCUUUUG
rnacentral:rRNA from 1 species